GACAGAGGGUGCAAACGUUGUUCGGAAUUACUGGGCGUAAAGCGCGUGUAGGCGGCUUGGCAAGUCGGGCGUGAAAGCCCCGGGCUCAACCUGGGAAGUGCACUCGAAACUGCUUGGCUUGAGUACUGGAGAGGGAAGCGGAAUUCUCGGUGUAGAGGUGAAAUUCGUAGAUAUCGAGAGGAACACCGGUGGCGAAGGCGGCUUCCUGGACAGUGACUGACGCUGAGACGCGAAAGCGUGGGGAGCAAACAGG
rnacentral:rRNA from 1 species